rnacentral:sRNA from 1 species
CCGGUGGCCGCACUUUGUCAGAUAAACAACCCUUCGGGUAUUUCAUGCUACGAAUGGCCAAAAGGACGCUCUGCAACUAUUCUUCGCCAUACAAAGUCCCGUUGUUUUCAUUUUUGAGCUAAUCACGGGUCAUUAGGACUGCUCGCGACUACUUAACGGGAAGGGUUAUUGAGCACCAUAGGUGAAUGGACAUUCCAAAGGAAGAAGUGAGGGGAUACAUUGGUAGUGCCUCUUACAGCUCCAGGGAGCCUUCCUCUCUAUUCCUAGGGCUUAGGGUUGAUUCGAUUGGUUGGUUCAUCUAAGAGUAAUAUUGAUCGGAAUCUGGACAACUGUU